UCCGGAGGGUGGAAGCGUUAUCCGGAAUUACUAGGUUUAAAGGGUGCUUAGGCGGCUUCAUAAGUCAGGGGUGAGAGCCUAUCGCUUAACGAUAGAAUUGCCUUUGAUACUGUAAAGUUUGAAAGGGGUUGAGGUCAGCAGAAUGUGGCAUGUAGCGGUUAAAUGCAUAGAUAUGCCAUAGAACACCGAUUGCGAAGGCAGCUGGCCGUGCCUCCUUUGACGUUGAGGCACUAAAGCGUUUGGAGCGAACAGG
rnacentral:rRNA from 1 species